CCCAGGGGUGCUGCCUGGACACCGGCCAGGCCUGGGCGAGAUGGCCGGGCAGAGCGCGGCGAGGGAGCCGGGAGGAAGGAAAUGAAGUCAGCGCUGUGACCCGCACCAGCUGCACGCUCGCACUCUGCCGCGAGCUCAUUACCCCCUGACCGCGCGGUGCCCCGAGGUGCUGCUCCAGCUGCUGGGGGGCUGCCAAGCCUGGCACGGGUCCGGCCUCUUCUCGAAGCUCCCUUCCAGUGCCAGGCAGCUCCUUCCCCAGGGCCCGGGUGGAGCGGUGGUGGCCGAAUGAGUAACGCCAGAAUCUCGCUGCAUGGAGACGUGCACGGCUCAGCGCCAUCCCUCGCGGGUCUGUGCGGCAGCCAGUGCUGAAAAUGUUGGGUGCCGAGUGUGUUGACUGGAUGAGAAGCAGAGAAACGCAACCUGAUAAGGACAACUGUGAUGCUCUGCGUGUUGGUAGGAACAAGCAACAGCAAAGAAAUGGGAUUGUCCUAUCACACUCUGUUGAGGAGGAGUCACUUCCACCAUUUCAUGAGGUGUCCACUGCUCUGUAUGCGGGGCACAUUGGCUCCGUCUCUGCCACCUGAAAGAACCCAGUUCACAACGCCAGCAGGUGGGAUGUGCUUCAGGACACAGCCAGACCUCUGGGCCUCUCGCCCACCCAAGCAAGACGUGCCUGGGACACGGGUUAGAAAAAUGGAUGUUCUCUGUCCUCUGGAGGAAACAGGCUGUCUGUGCC